GGGGCCAUGGCGCAAUGGUAGCGCGUCUGAUUCCAGCUGCGUGAUUUUGAUUGCGAGCUUCCAGAAGGUUGGGCGUUCAAAUCGCCCUGGCCUCA
rfam:Phlebiopsis gigantea 11061_1 CR5-6 unplaced genomic scaffold PHLGIscaffold_49, whole genome shotgun sequence.